GCGGGCAUAGUUUAGUGGUAAAACCCCAGUCUUCCAAACUGGUGAUGUCGGUUCGAUUCCGUCUGCCCGCACCA
rnacentral:tRNA from 4 species